AUUUGCCUGUGUCUGAGUUCUCCUCUGCAGAGAAAGGCUGACAGUUUCCUUUAUUCCAUGCAGGACCUGUUCUAAAUAUCUGAAAGCUGCAAAGCAUCUUGUAGCAAUGAAAUCUACAUACACAGUUUGACUGAAUAUCAAAGGGAGAAGAUCAUCAGUGAUACAGCCCUUAUUAGCCUUUCUGUCUCAGUGCAAAGAAUACAAUAUCCAGAAGCCGGGAAAGAGGGAAUUAAAUUAAUUCAUUUUCCUUCAAUCUGGCACUACCUUCAGAGCCAUUUAGAUGAACUUUGUAGCACAAUUAAAUUUCGUGAGGAUUAAACAGCCAAGACAGCUUGAUACUCAGACAGUCAAUAUAUUACCUUUGCUAUUCCUGCCAUCCAUGAUAUGAGGAGUAGCUCUGUAGAAAGAGAACUAAUUGCUGAACACUUCUGCAGUCUCCAUUUUACUGUUUACCUUGAAAAGAGGAACAACACAAAUUUUUGAUCCCAAAUCCACAGAUGAAGAAGUUGAAUUGGAAGUUGGAUGCAUUAAGUAGCAUAAGGCAGUGCAAUGUGUAUCUGUCACCCAGAACCCACUCCAAAAGAGUAAAUAAAG